GAUGAACGCUGGCGGCGUGCCUAAUACAUGCAAGUCGAGCGAACGGACGAGAAGCUUGCUUCUCUGAUGUUACCGGCGGACGGGUGAGUAACACGUGGAUAACCUACCUAUAAGACUUGGAUAACUUCGGGAAACCGGAGCUAAUACCGGAUAAUAUUUUGAACCGCAUGGUUCAAAAGUGAAAGACGGUCUUGCUGUCACUUAUAGAUGGAUCCGCGCUGCAUUAGCUAGUUGGUAAGGUAACGGCUUACCAAGGCAACGAUGCAUAGCCGACCUGAGAGGGUGAUCGGCCACACUGGAACUGAGACACGGUCCAGACUCCUACGGGAGGCAGCAGUAGGGAAUCUUCCGCAAUGGGCGAAAGCCUGACGGGGCAACGCCGCGUGAGUGAUGAAGGUCUUCGGAUCGUAAAACUCUGUUAUUAGGGAAGAACAUAUGUGUAAGUAACUGUGCACAUCUUGACGGUACCUAAUCAGAAAGCCACGGCUAACUACGUG
rnacentral:rRNA from 1 species